CUUGGCGCGAGCGCCGGCGAGGUGGCGGGUGGUUUUUCGAGCGAGGCGAUUGCCGAAGACGAUCUUGCCGCCGGUCGCUUCGACGGCGCCAAGG
rnacentral:tRNA from 1 species